GAAAUGCGAUACUUGGUGUGAAUUGCAGAAUUCAGUGAAUCAUCGAGUCUUUGAACGCACAUUGCGCCCCCUGGUAUUCCGGGGGGCAUGCCUGUCCGAGCGUCAUUGCUGCCCUCAAGCACGGCUUGUGUGUUGGGCUUCCGUCCCUGGCAACGGGGACGGGCCCAAAAGGCAGUGGCGGCACCAUGUCUGGUCCUCGAGCGUAUGGGGCUUUGUCACCCGCUCCCGUAGGUCCAGCUGGCAGCUAGCCUCGCAACCAAUCUUUUUAACCAGGUUGACCUCGGAUCAGGUAGGGAUACCCGCUGAACUUAAGC
rnacentral:misc_RNA from 1 species